GACGAACGCUGGCGGCGUGCCUAAUACAUGCAAGUUGAGCGCUGAAGGUUGGUACUUGUACCAACUGGAUGAGCAGCGAACGGGUGAGUAACGCGUGGGGAAUCUGCCUUUGAUCGGGGGACAACAUUUGGAAACGAAUGCUAAUACCGCAUAAAAACUUUAAACACAAGUUUUAAGUUUGAAAGAUGCAAUUGCAUCACUCAAAGAUGAUCCCGCGUUGUAUUAGCUAGUUGGUGAGGUAAAGGCUCACCAAGGCGAUGAUACAUAGCCGACCUGAGAGGGUGAUCGGCCACAUUGGGACUGAGACACGGCCCAAACUCCUACGGGAGGCAGCAGUAGGGCAUCUUCGGCAAUAGACGAAAGUCUGACCGAGCAACGCCGCGUGAGUGAAGAAGGUUUUCGGAUCGUAAAACUCUGUUGGUAGAGAAGAACGUUGGUGAGAGUGGAAAGCUCAUCAAGUGACGGUAACUACCCAGAAAGGGACGGCUAACUACGUG
rnacentral:rRNA from 1 species